CAGCAGCCACGGGAAUACGUAGGGUGCGAACGUUAAUCGGAAUUACUGGGCGUAAAGCGUGCGCAGGCGGUGAUGUAAGACAGAUGUGAAAUCCCCGGGCUCAACCUGGGAACUGCAUUAGUGACUGCAUCGCUGGAGUGCGGCAGAGGGGGAUGGAAUUCCGCGUGUAGCAGUGAAAUGCGUAGAUAUGCGGAGGAACACCGAUGGCGAAGGCAAUCCCCUGGGCCUGCACUGACGCUCAUGCACGAAAGCGUGGGGAGCAAACAGGAUUAGAUACCCCCGUAGUCCCUGUCUCUUAUAC
rnacentral:rRNA from 1 species